UGCCACCAGCCAGUACUGCCCGACUGGAGCCAGCUCUGCUGUGACCCAAAAUGCUACAUAAUGCAACUGACAGCUUCGGGCAAGCUGAGACAGCAAAUAUAACAGUCUGUGCUAGGGUAUUGUUCUCUCAACAUCCCACUGCCCUCACUGCUGCAGCCUGGAGGCCUUCAGAGUUGUGGAUAUUUCACACACCUGAAACUAAUGAUGAAAAGACAACAUCUAAGGCCCUUUUAUGAGAAUCCCACCUUCAUCAAGAGGACAGUGCAGUGGGAGGGGGAGUAGGGGAGGUAAAUGGUUUUCCUUUCUCCCAUAUCUGCAGAGGAGUAGAGAUGAGGAGCAGAGGUAAAAGGAACAAAUGAGUGACCCCUUGUUCCUUCUUAAGAAAGAAAUAUUUAGGCUCCUAUCUUCAGAGAUCUGGGUUAUGAUUCCUGUGUGGAUGGAUAAGAAUGGCAAAAAUCAAGGCAUAGUACCAGAGGAGAUGGAAAAGGAACAGAAGGCCCUGUCCUGGAAGCACUGAGUUCUCCAGUGAUCUGGGAAUCAGACUGCCUGGUUUGCUUAUUGAAUCUAGGCAUAAUCCCCAUGUGCAAAAAUGGAGGGUCACUGGGGCUAUGGCUAAACUGGAGAGCUCAGGGUACUUCAUAGCUACCAGAGAUCUUCUGCCUAACUGAGCUUCUCUGCAGUGGAAUAUGCCUACGCAGUGCACAACAGUAUUCUUACUGAGUCGCAUCACAUUUUUUUAAAGUCGGUUCUUCAUUUUGUGUAGAUAAAUCAGAAUUUCCAUUCAACCCACCCCAUCCUUGACUUCAGCUUUCUUGUGCCUUCCCAAUUCUUUCCCACUCCAGCACCACUUUGAGUUACAGAGACAUUGCUCACUUUGUCAUUGAGAUCAUACAUGGAACAUCUGUAUUUCCAGCAGAGAUUUCUCUGAAAUGCCCCCUGAGAUUUCCAACUUGGCAAUUAAUCAUUGAUAAUUAGUCUUUAAGCAGAUUUACAUGAAAAAAUUAAGCAUGCCAAUGAAUGAUCCUAGUAUCAUGAGUCUACCCCUUGUGCUGUUUAUAGCCUGUCAAAACUAUGACAGUUGUGAUUUUGGUCCAAGCCAACCAGCACUUUAAAUGUUUGAGCAUGGGUGAGGUUGAUGUGGACCAGGAACCACUUACGCUAGGCAAUAAGCACCUUAGGUGUGGCCAGCAUGUUAUGAAGGGGAAGGAAGUCAAGCAAUGUGGACAUAGAAUGGCCUCUGCCAAAGAGUGGGUCUAAGCAUAGCUGAGUUCACAUGUAGACCUGAAUUGUCUGGGUACAGAUUUUGCAUAGCACUUGCAGUACUUAUUUACAGUAUGUUCUUUCUGUAUUUAUUUUUAGUUUAUUUAUGAAAAUAUGAUGUAGAACAGUGCCAUGAAGUGUGUGAAUGUUAAGAUACACACCACUGACUGCAUUCUGUCUAUCUAUAAGGCCCAAAUUCCUUUUGUAGGAGAAAAUUAAGUAGAUUUGCAGAACACUAUUGACUGUGAUUCAUCUCCUAGCUAUUUUCUAAAUAUUUUCAAAUAACAUGUUUUACUCUGCUAAUACUGAACUGAGGUUGGGCUGACUGACCUCUAAUCCUCUGACUCCCAUUUGAUGAAGGCAACCAUUGAUUUGUCCUUUGCAAGCCUUUUGGCACCUCACCUAUCCUCCAUGACCUCUUCAAAAUGACAGCUUUGAAAUGGCAUCAGAGUAAAUGUCACCAAACCAAAUGUUAUCUCUGCUCCUUCAUCUGCUAUUUCCCUGUCCUAGACUGGAUUCUUGUUCUCCUCUCACUAACAGUAGCAAUGUCAUUCCUUUGAUCUUCUCAGUGUUUCUGUAAGCUUUCUUUUUCCACCAAGCAGGGAACCAUUUCUUGAAAGGUGUCCAGGUACCACCUUGAAAUGAUAUACAGUUUUUUAUGUAUUCUGUUGAGCAGCAGAAAAAUUAAGGCAUUCAUAGGUCUAUGAUCUCAGAAUAAAAUCUGCAUUUUAGUAGUUGCUAUGUGUGAGACAUACGAGAAAAAGUGGGAAUGAGUAAUGUCAAAAUGUUAAAGCCUGUUUUGUUUGCCACAGUGAUUCUUUUACCUUUAGGAGCCGUUACACUGUUUAAUUUAGAUAGAAAAGAAUGAACUAUGCAUGCACACAUGGUAAAGUGUACAGAAGACCACUUUAUCAUUUGUCAAAACCUGUGCUGAAUAAUUUGAGACAGUGUUAUCCAGAUUUUCUUUUUUUUGAGGAGUGAUAUGAGUGACUAACUUGGUAAUGGAAUUGGCAGAGACUAUGUUGGCUAAGUGCUUGGACUAAGAGCUUUGAUGUAAUAAAGCUGCGCUUUCAAGGCCUUUUCUGCAGGGUUUUGGACAGCCAGGAGAUCUAGCGAUUACUGUUCCAUUAUAUCAAUCCCAGUGGGUAUUGCAUGCUGAUCCCCACCAAGUCAGUCAAAGCAACUUGGAGCUGAUGAGGGAACAUGACCUGCAAGAGAAAACACAACAAGUUUACUGGCGAGGCAUUUUUAUGUGGAACAGUCUGGAUGAAUUUGGUGGCUGUUUAGAGAGCUGAGCCAGUGUUGGAACCAGAGGACAGGGGCAUGUAUGCAUCCAGCAUUGACCUUGAAUCAAAACAAGUGAGGAAGAAUGAAGAAUGAAUGGGAUGUACAUGCUGUGGAGCUGCAUUCUUAUGGGUCUCAUUCGUCUGGACAGCCUGGUUGACUGAAUGUUGACCUAUGGCCACCUUUGUGAUUAUCAAUGCUGUUGUUUGCACAUGUGUGCAAAUUGUGUUUUUAAAGCUCUGUAUGCUCUAUCUUUAUUUAACAUUAUGCUUUCACCUGGUACUAUUUAUCUGUGUAUAAUACACUUGUAUUGUAUUUAGUCUGUUUAUUUAUUUAAUUAUUUUAAAGAAUGGUUGCUGUAUGAGAACCUGGCAGGCAAAUCUGGUUUAUUUUAUAAAUACAACAUUUCCUUUAAUUCAUUCACAUUGUUGAUUCAAUAUGGUUUGCUUUCCAAAUCAAAUGGCAGAAACUGAAUUAAAAAUAACAGAAAUCUUGACAGGUUUCCCCUCAUCUUAUGACCCUUUGAUACAUUAACAUUAUACUCCCUAAAGGGGUGUUAUGUCUUCCAUGUUUGUCUUCAACAAUGCAAGUUACUCACUGUCUUGUCUUACUUAUGGACUAAAUGGCACUAGGUAGCACUAUGAUCAGAAUUAUUUUAAUGGUAAAUGAAAUCAGAGCAGGCUCUAGAAAAUACGUGAACAAUUUUGCUGUUAGGAUUGAUGGUAAUCAAAGAUUUUCUGAUUUUUCUGUUAUUCUGUCCAUUAUUUCAUAUGUUUCUGAUGUUGUUUUUAGAAUUUCAAUGACCACAGCUCUAACUGCACUGGAUAGAUUAUACACAUAAAGUUUCCACAUUGUGCAUAUGGUAGAUGUGACAAAACCUUGAUUUUGGAGAGGGCAAAAUGAACACUAUGAAUUUGUAGAAAUUUUAUUAUUGAAUCAUUCUGUUAAGCUUAAGAAAUGUGCUAAUAAAUUGCUCAAAAAAGGAAGUGUACACAUCAGUACCUGGGACUCAUUGCAACAAAUUUGCUAAAUUGCAUCUCUCGCUGUUGUUAACAUGUUUUUAGUUUGUCAUGUGUACAGAACAACCCCACAUCAAAUUUGGCCUGUAACUUAUUUAUCCACAUUAAUGUUAAUGUGUGUAUAUGUAGAGCUACAUAGUCUUUGUCUACAGCUAUUUCUGGAAGGAGAUAACUUUCCCCUGUGCUAAAACUGAAAGAACAAUGUAUGUAUGUCUUUCUACAGAAGAAGAUUGUUAGUGCUGUAUUUCAGCUUCCUUGCUUUUUUCAGUAUGGUAUGAUAUUGUAAUACUCAAAAAUAUUCCUGUAUAUUUUACAUUCUAGCUCAUAAAUCACCUUUGAUUGUUACCCAAACAUUUCCUAAUAAGGAUGCAUAAUUUUGGAUUAACAUUGUCCAAUGAUGUUUUGGGCUUGUAUCAGCAAUGCUAAACAGUUACAACAGAAACUGCAUUUCAGAUAUCAUUCUCAGUAAGACAAAGGCAAUUUCUAUUACUUGCAUGUAGACUUUCUACUAAUGUGAUCCAUGUAUAGAAAAUAAACAGCUGGAUGUGCUCAAUAUUAUAAACCUGUUUCUCUGAGAGCUACUUAUUUUUCUCCUAGUGUGUGCUGUUUUGUGUAGCCCAAGUAACUGAAAAGAUAGUGGAAAGUUUGUGAACAGAAGCACCUGUUCCCUGAGACUCAGGUGUUACUCAUUUGCAUGGACAAUCUCUGAAUCCUUGAAAGAAAUACAUGGCAGCAGUGAAAUGCUGCACUUCUUUUAACUAAGAAAGCUAUAUAAAGUUCAGGGACUGUAUAAAAAUGUUCUGAUCAUCUCCAGCUCACUGUACAAUGCCUCAUUUAAUAUGGGAAGCCUCUAAACACAAAAAAAAGGGGAUUGGUAUGCUUUUGUAUCCAGGAACAAGAACCAGCAGAAAGGAACCUGACAUUGCUACCUGGACCCUUAGUGUCUGGAACCUUAGUAGAGAUGGCCUGAUGUUGUUGGUUAUGCUGGUGUUUGUGAUGGCAGACAGGCAGGUCCAGACCACAGGCACUUGUGGUGCAGAUAAACCAUUCAUUUCACUGUCCUUAAAAAAUUCACACAUACGAUUAUGCUAAGUGGAAGGGGAGACUUCAGGCUGAAGGAACUGGGAAGUUAAAGCUCACUGUUUGUACCCAGUGUGGAUUUAGCAUAUGAUGGACAACUGAACUGCCAACUGCCAACACUCUCAAGACCAGUUUUAUCUUCCAUUCCAAGUGUAAACAUUUGAACAUGUACUAAAAGGUCCAGCUGAAACACUUGCCACUUUGAGAAGGAGAGUUCAAGGAUGCCUGAUAAACAUGUUGGCAGCCAAAGCUCUUGCUCAGGCAGUUUGGAUGCACUAUGUUCAAUGCAAAGUUACUGCAGUCCAGUAUAUCAGUAAGUGCUCUGUGGGUCAGUCUUCCUGGUAGAUGUGUCUGGUAGAUGUUUUUGAUGCUGGAGCCAGAAUAUGGAUGAGUUUCAGGCAUCACCGAGGUUGGUAGAUAUAAGCCUUAGCUUCACAAGACAGACAUGACCUCAGGAUGCUCAAGUAUCAGGAAUUCUAAAAAAAUUUGGGGUGUGGGGAAAAAAAAGAAAUACGGAAGAAAUCCAAGUUACUUCUGAGAAGCUACUAUGAAAUGUAAAUCCAUGUCUUUCUUGUCUCCUUAUUGAUCAUUAGUAAAUUUGUAUUUUGGAGAUGAAAGAUGAAUAGAAAUGUACUUAAUUUUCCAGUGUCUAAAUGUCUGUUUGUCUGUACUUCAAAUUCAGCACAAAAAUGAGUAGCUAUGGCAAUUUCUAUUACAAAGCACAUGAGUUUUGUGUCAUAAUAACAUUCCCUUUCAUUCAGUAUCUAGUCUUUGCCAGAGGCCAAUGAUAGGUGCUAGAGAGAAUAAAUACAUGAAGUGGACGAUGACAUUUCUCAGAAUAAUCUGGUCUCCAAAAGUGUACAACUUCUCCAAUUAAGGCAAUUUAAUAGUCCCUGAAAUAGUUCUCUUAUGAAUGUGUGCAAUUGCUUUUAGGUUUUCAACAUUCUGUUGAAAUGAGUUCUAGAGGUUAAGUGGAUAUUGUGUAAAGAAUACCUCUUUUUGUUCACUCAAAACUUGUUAUUUGCUGAUUUCCUAUGACAGCCCUCAUUUCCCGUAUUGUGGGAGAGUUCAGAGGCCAAGUGCUGGAACAGCAAAGAAGUUUUAGACUCAGGACCCCUUAUGCAGUCUAAAUAAAAGCCUAGUUAUAUGCCUUUGCCAAAUGUGAGAACAUGUAAACAUGAAGAUUUUUGAAUCCAGGACCUAGUUUUUGCAUUUUCCAUCAAUUUCUAAGUAAAACAGUCCCCAAAGCACAUCUUGGGAUGCCUCCCAUGAGCUGCUCUGAGGAGCUGUGUUGGGUGGUCAUCCUUGUCCUGAUCUCCCACCACCAUAAGAGGAACUUCAGAGUGCAGAACUCAUGCAGGAUAGCCAAUGCAAACCUGUCCUAUGGGUUGGAGAUAAUUUCCCUCAAAGCAUUUGAAAUAACAGACACAGCUGGUGAUCAUUUUCUUUUCCAAACAAACAUUACAACCUGAUCUGGCUCUUCUGAUACUUUACAAAUCCAUUUUCUUCAAAAAUUCAUCCAAAGUAAUGUGUUAGAGAUCUUAAAAGCACUGUGACUAAAAGGGCUCUAGGGAAACAAGAUGAACUGAUUAGACAUUUUUUUGUAGUUUGAUAAUUUGGCAACUCUUAUUCUCAUAUUUUUGGUACAUCUCAAGCUAAAGUAUUCAUUACUCUAUAAAUAGCUUGUCAGCUAAAGAAGCAGAGUGACAGACAUACAUUAUUUGGUUGCCCUGAUGUAAAAGAUGUGCUCUAUUCUUACUCCUACAGGGUAUUGUUCCGUACGCAUAGCUUUUGAGGGACGGUCUAAUGACUGCCUCUGUUUAUUUAUUCAUCUCAGGAUCCCUCAGACAUCAACAACUACAAGCAGCAGUUGCACAUAUUGAGUGCUUCUCUGUACAAAUGCAGUUGAUCAAAGAAUCACACAGAAUAACAGCAUGGCUGAGGUUGGAAGGGACCUCUGAAGAUCAUCUAGUCCAAUGCCCCUGCUGAGCAGGAUCACCUACAACAUGUUGCAUAGGAUGGUAUCCAGGUGGGUUUUGAACAUCUCCAGAGAAGGA